rnacentral:misc_RNA from 1 species
UAAUAAUCGCGUUAGGGAUUGCACUGAAAAUUCUAUUGUGAGGUAAAGAGCAAAAUUGUAAUGAAAAGCUCGACCAUUG